AUGGCUGUGAUGGAGGAGAGCAGGCAGAGGUGGUGCUCCAGAGGAGCACAAGCAGGGUGUGUGUGGAUGUGUCCCUAGAAAAUGGAAACCAUGAGACAAACUUUGCUGCUUCUUCACUGUACUGUUGUGCAUCGCUGCAGUGAGACUUCCUUAUGGUCUCCAGACCUACAACUGGACUCUGAAUCUUCAUCCCACUGAUGUUUAUGAGAGCCCAGUCUCCUCAAUCUGUUUUGCACGUGGAACAAUGUACCCUUUGACAUAUGGAAUGAUGUGCGAAUAGCUCUUGGAAAAAGAGAGGAUGAAUGAAGUCAGGCUGUGAAGGACCGCAUCCAGCAGCACUGAGGCUUGCUAUGAAAAAUCAGAAGACUCGAGAUAGAAAUGGUGAGAGCCAGCACUACCAUCCCCAUGAAGUCCUGUACUCCUUCGGAGGAGUUGUCUGCUAAGCUCAAGUAUCAUGUAGCAAUGGAGGAAUGCAGAAAACAUGACUGUGUGCAGUGCUGUGGUGAGAAACUGCCCCACGUUCAUUGGAUCCCAUCAUGUGCUACAGGAGUGAGAAGCCUCAGCAGAUGGUGGUGAUGUAACUUUCUGGAGGUAAAGGCUGCAAGAAACGACCACUUCAUACAUCAAUUUGAUUCACUGAUUACUCACAAAACACUACGUAUAGGCAAGGAAAAGAAUACAAAACAAAAUUGUAUGGACAUCUUGAUGACAGAGUGUUCUGGUUUGCACCAGGAAACGCUGAGAACAACCCAGUACUCUGUAAAGUUUGUCGUAAGCAUGUAAAAAUAUAUGAAUGCCAAUGGAAAUUAUUGACCAAACAAUCUCCUUUUUGGUGCAAAAUAUGGUUUAUCAAUACUUGUACUGACCUGCUUGAAAUACUCCAGGCAGAAUGGGAAAAACAGGCAGAACUCCGAACAAUUUAAAGCGUAUUUAGAACUGGCUGGAAACCAGAAGUCAUCCUGCAGUUUUAUUUACAGAAAAAGCAGUCUGUUUCUUCAGGGAUUCGAUUGGUUUAAGGCCAGGAAGGACCAUGAGAACAUCUACUUUGAUGUUUUGUUUAAUGAAAGGCCAGCUACCCCCUAUACUUUGUCUGAAGAUGUAUGUAUAGUUCUUUUUUUCUUUAAGAAAAGUAACCUGCGUUUAGUUUUGUCAUCUUAUCUGCUUAAAAUUGCAGAAUCAACCAUUCCCUCAAUAGAUCGUGCAAGCAGUUAAUAUCUUUUUCUAUUAAAUUGCAUUCAUAAUUGCUCACUUACAAUUGUUUGGCUUCUCAUUUAGGACCUUGGUGCAAGUUCUGCUUUGCUUCACUUGAUGAACGGUCCUUUUGAUACCCACUGCUUUCUUUUGCAUGCACAGACCGGUAUUAAAUCACCUUUCCAUUGUUUUGCUGCUUAAUUAAACGGAUUAAACUCCGCAAAUAAUAUAUAAGAUAUUUUACUGAAUGGUUUCAAACUUUACCCACACAAAUCUUCAGCAGCCUUAAGAAAUGCAGGCGAUAAAACACAACAGGUGCUGUGUGCUGAGAUAAAAUCUCCCCCUGGUUCUAUUCUUUUCAUGGACUGAAGGAUCAAAUUUGAUUUAGGGAAAGAAAAAUUAAAAAAAGAAAAAAAAAAAAAAAAAAAAAAACUUCAGUUUAUUCAGGAGCUUAAUUCUGUCUUGACUCACAGCUUUCCAUGUAGUCCUCCUUGCAGCCCUAAGUUCCUCUCUGGCAGCUCUGAAGCUGUUUGCCUGCACUAAACAGCUCUGUAAGUGCCCAGAACCCCCUGGUAACACAUGUUGCUCUCCAUGAUUAACUUCUUACCUUCUGCUGUUGACUCCUGCGUGUUCAGAUCCCAAUCUGAGCAGUGCAUGGCACACCAUGGCCUCGUGCUACAAGCAGUGUUCCUUCAGCAGAUGCUUCACAUCAUCAUGCAAUCAGCAUGCAGUGUUCUGACUCACCAAACUCCACCUGCGUUGUAUCUUUCCUGUUAUCUUCAUCCACCAAACUCGUAAUCUCAUCAAAGAAUGAAAUUAGAUUUAUAUGAUAGGCCUGUUUUCCAUAAACUGUGAUUACUGGUGUUAAUUAUAUUGCUAUACUUUAUUAUUUUAAUUAAUUGCUUUUAUUAGUUGAAGUUUGUAUCAGCUUUGCAUUGCUUUGCUCAACACUGUGCUGGCCAGCUGGCUCACAGUUACCUUUAUCAUCUCUGUUCUACUUCUGACUCUUGGCUCUAUUUUAGCAGUCAUUCAGUGCUUUGGAUACCCUUGUUUUGGUGCAUUCAUUGCAAGCUAACUUCAGCAUCUGGAUCUCUGAGCUCAGCUCCUUGACAUCACUUGUUCUGACAUCACUUGCAUUGUUCCACGAGCUUCUGCUUCAGCGCCAGCACUUUGCUGUGAAGGACUGGAGGACUCCUCCAUCACAGCAGUGUUUCCCUCGGGAAUUCCUUUGCAUCAGGGCUGUGUUUGUGUUAAAUUGGCAGAAAUUCUCACCUUCUGGCUUCACUGUUGUGAUUGUUUUAUUUCUACUUCUUAUGUAUGGAUAAAAUCUGAUUCAGCCUCCCGAUCAUCUUAGUGAUCCUCCUCUGGACCCGCUCUAAGAGCUCCAUGUCCUUCCUGAACUGGAGUCAGGGCUUUUGGAACUUGAUCCUUGAGGUCCCUUCCACCCAGAGACAUUCUGUGAUGGGAGCAACCUGCCAUCCAAAGUAUCAGGACAGUGGUAUCCAUAUCCAGCACGUCAGCAAUGCCCACCUCCAGAAGUCUCUCUCCUGUAUAGAUUUGAGUAGUGCUGCCAUAGCCAGCAGAUUGCUGGGAUCUGCCACAUAUGCAGCUUGGGGUAGUGUUACUCCACAGUGUUGACCACGUUGGCCUAAAAGUGAACCAAUUUCUUUAUAAAUCGUUGGAUGUUUUGAUGGAGUGAUCUCAGUACAACGCAUACUCUGGUUUAUAUGACUAAGGGAAGAAGAAAAGCAUGAAGAAAAAGCACUGUUUGGAUCCACCUCCCAGACAUAAUGGAAAAGAAAUGAAAUACAAAAAUGUACAGAUUGUACCACAGAUCUAUGUCUUGGAAAUGCAGAUGACAUAGUGGUAGAUUUGUGAAUGUGAUCUGAAUCGUUCCUGUGGGUGAGGAGUGCUGCUAGCAAGGCAAGAAAUUAGGUCCAGGUCUAAAAAUCCCCACCUUGGGAAUAAGAAGCAGUGGGUGGA